UAUACAUGCAGUCGAGCGAACGGACGAGAAGCUUGCUUCUCUGAUGUUAGCGGCGGACGGGUGAGUAACACGUGGAUAACCUACCUAUAAGACUGGGAUAACUUCGGGAAACCGGAGCUAAUACCGGAUAAUAUUUUGAACCGCAUGGUUCAAAAGUGAAAGACGGUCUUGCUGUCACUUAUAGAUGGAUCCGCGCUGCAUUAGCUAGUUGGUAAGGUAACGGCUUACCAAGGCAACGAUGCAUAGCCGACCUGAGAGGGUGAUCGGCCACACUGGAACUGAGACACGGUCCAGACUCCUACGGGAGGCAGCAGUAGGGAAUCUUCCGCAAUGGGCGAAAGCCUGACGGAGCAACGCCGCGUGAGUGAUGAAGGUCUUCGGAUCGUAAAACUCUGUUAUUAGGGAAGAACAUAUGUGUAAGUAACUGUGCACAUCUUGACGGUACCUAAUCAGAAAGCCACGGCUAACUACGUGCCAGCAGCCGCGGUAAUACGUAGGUGGCAAGCGUUAUCCGGAAUUAUUGGGCGUAAAGCGCGCGUAGGCGGUUUUUUAAGUCUGAUGUGAAAGCCCACGGCUCAACCGUGGAGGGUCAUUGGAAACUGGAAAACUUGAGUGCAGAAGAGGAAAGUGGAAUUCCAUGUGUAGCGGUGAAAUGCGCAGAGAUAUGGAGGAACACCAGUGGCGAAGGCGACUUUCUGGUCUGUAACUGACGCUGAUGUGCGAAAGCGUGGGGAUCAAACAGGAUUAGAUACCCUGG
rnacentral:rRNA from 2 species